UACGUAGGGUGCGAGCGUUGUCCGGAAUUAUUGGGCGUAAAGGGCUCGUAGGCGGUUUGUCGCGUCGGGAGUGAAAAUCCAGGGCUUAACUCUGGACUGGCUUCCGAUACGGGCAGACUAGAGGUAUGCAGGGGAGAACGGAAUUCCUGGUGUAGCGGUGAAAUGCGCAGAUAUCAGGAGGAACACCAAUGGCGAAGGCAGAUCUCUGGGCCGUAACUGACGCUGAGGAGCGAAAGCAUGGGGAGCGAACAGG
rnacentral:rRNA from 1 species